rnacentral:lncRNA from 1 species
GGCAUCUUGAGAUGGCAAACAGUAAAUGUGCCUGUGUUAAUAACAACAAAAAUAAUUCUUUGUGCUCUACCCGUCUACUGAUUUUUACUUAUAAAAAUUAUGUUCAUUAGCUUUCCCCACCCGACCCAACAACCUGGUGAGUUUGGUGUGGGAGAUAUAUUUGGAAUGUAAGGAAACUGAAGCAUUGAGAACAAGAUGACCCUCCUUAGGACCCCAGCCAUAUACAGAUUUAUGGAUUUUCAUCCAAGGCAAAAAUGCAGGGCUGUUCGUACAGCUUAACUGGAGCUAUACUGGCAGAAAAUAAGGGCAGGAACCAAAGCUGCUGUCACAAAGAAAGGACUCUCCCAGUUCUCUAUUUGGUAUUUAAAAAUAGGAGAGAAAAUGGCAUAGCUUGAAUCUGAGAUAAUGCUUGCCACUUUGUGAAUGUUCUUACAGUGCAUUGCCUUCGAAACAAAUUGGCCCUCGUCUACAAAGGUUUCUUUUUUGUACUCUCACAAACUCAUUUUUAAUGGCUUGUAUGGCAUCAGUUGUGCCCCUGAGCUGUAAUGAAGCACUCUGCAAGUCACCACACGCGUCAGAAAUGAAUCUCAUGGAGGGGAAAAUGCUGGAGCAUUAAUAGGUUUUAAUCCAAGGGCCCAUACCAUUUAUAUACCAGAAUACAUGGCAUAUAACCCCCAGUCUCUCCUAUGGUUUUAUGUGGCCACAUGACUCAGUUCUAGCCAAUGGAAUGCACAUGGACGUACAUCUUUUGGAUAUUGUCCUUAAUGGGAGGGGGAAAACCUUUCUACCCUUCUUUCCUCCUUCUUGCUGCCUGGAAUGUGG